rfam:Ciona savignyi cont_27698, whole genome shotgun sequence.
UGCGCCAUGGCUUAGUGGUAAAGCACCUGUCUAGUACACAGGAGAUCCUGGGUUCGAUCCCCAGUGGUGCCU